UACGAAGGGGGCUAGCGUUGCUCGGAAUCACUGGGCGUAAAGCGCACGUAGGCGGCUUGUUAAGUCGGGGGUGAAAUCCUGGAGCUCAACUCCAGAACUGCCUUCGAUACUGGCAAGCUUCGAGUUCGGGAGAGGUGAGUGGAACUGCGAGUGUAGAGGUGAAAUUCGUAGAUAUUCGCAAGAACACCAGUGGCGAAGGCGGCUCACUGGCCCGAUACUGACGCUGAGGUGCGAAAGCGUGGGGAGCAAACAGG
rnacentral:rRNA from 1 species